AUUUAAAUAGUUUAAGGAAAAAUAUUGAUUUGUGGAAUCAAAGUUAUAUUAUGUAUUUUAGAUA
rnacentral:tRNA from 1 species